CCAUUUCCCAUCGGUUUAAAUGAAGAAAUGAUGAAAGCCCUAGCGCUGCCAGAACCCUGAGUCUGUGAGGGCAGUGCUUGUGGGAGAGGUUGGGGUCCCUAACUGACUGUCUAGAGCGCGCCACCGAGCUGCCAGCGGCCAGUGUGUAGGGUCAGCGGGUAAGGUGUGCGGGUGUGUCCUUCCCGGCCUCUGCCCGGACCCUGACGCCCAUGCAAGCUUCUGAGUCAGGACAGAUGGCGUGAGAGAUCACAGAGGACUCCGAAAAAGGGACAGUGUAGUAACCUGAAAGAGCCAGUAGCAGACUGAUUUAUUUCUGAGUUAUCUUUCUGGAGGAAUAUGUCACAUUACAAAAAAGAGUGAUAGGAAGCAUUAUUGUGUCUCUCCCGAAAACGCCAACCUCACCGUUAAAGUCCCCACCAUCUUAUGACCCUAGGAAGUCAAAAGUAUCUGCCUUCAAGGAGACAAGAGGUACUGUUCUACAAGUGACGACGGGCUCCGUCACGGGUGGGGCCCGAACAGGAACCUGAAUACGCGGGAUCAAGUGAAGGACACCGUGGAUUGUGAGCUCGGAUAAGUAAAUCAAGGGCGGUGAAUACAUUCGUGAGUAACAAGAUGAGAAUUGGACGCUGAAGGUGCCAGGUGGUUGCCUGAAAGAUUGGUCUGUUUUGCGGGGAAUUGUCCUGCCCCUCAGGAUGAUUCUGACAACUGUCCUGCUCAUGAAUCUAAUGAUGAUGCUUAAUGGGAAGUUUAUUGGACUUAUGUACCUGAUCCACCUGCGGCGGCCCCUGACAAGAAAGAGGUUCGAUCAUUCAACUAUACGGGAUCACUGGAGUCCAUCUACAUCUACCUGUGGGUAUGGAGACCACUGGAAUGCUCCAAUAAGACUAUUCCAUAAAAGAGAUGUGCGGCAGAUGCCCCUGUGAGAUAUAAUAUUACUGGACUUGAUACUUAUGUUUUGGACUGGUCUAAAUCUCGGGAUUAUGCCUCUACCCAGAUGUAUAAUUCUCUCCUAGUCCCCUAUAGUUAAGUGAAACAGCACUCUCUAUAGGGUUAUGGUGGAGUGACAAAGGAUAUGCUCAAACAUAUAUUUGGAAAUUGGCUGCAGCCUUACUUUAGGCUAAGGCCCAAUCUGAAAAUUCUUAUCAUCCCAAAAGAAAUGUCAUUGCAUGUGUUAUGCACUCUUAUGUAUUGCUUGUAGAAAAUAUUAGUCUUCAGAUAGGUAAUGAUUAUUAUGAUGUAAUUUGCUUUAAUUGUCAAAUAAGUAAUUGUGUCACCUGGACAGAAAAUCAGGUGAUGGUUUUGCAAAUGUGUCCUUAGAUUUAAUACAGCUUCAUAAGGAUAUUAUAGAUCUCCAAAAUGCAGAACCCCUAAAAUUUGAUGCAGCCCAGGCUGCACAGGAUUUUAUUGAACAAAUUAGGAAAGUUCUGCCAUCUACAUCUGCAUUUACACAGUAACUCAUUCCUAUAGUAAUCAUUGGAGGAGGGCUACUUCUUGGAUGCAUGAUCCUUCCAGUGCUACUACAGAUGUUUAUGCAUUCUUUGAUGAGGAUGGCUGGAAGUAUUCAUGGUCCACAAUUACAUGCUACACUGCCUAAGCCUAAGGUGUUAUCCCCUGCAGAGGCUGGUAGUCAAUGACGGGUAAGAGGAGUACAGGAAAUCACCAACCUAAGAGAGAGCAAGAGUACUGUGACGCUCCUGACUCGAUGACGGGUAAGGGAUUUCUUUAUAUUCCUCGCCUAAGACAGGCACAGUCUAUCUGCGUGAUCAAGGGACCUUGAUCAUAAUAUAUAAAACAGGGGGAGAUGUGGAGAGCAGUGUUAGCCAUAGAGGCUCCAUAUUAAAUCUUACCCUCCAUUGCAUAGAGCAAGGAGACUGUGUUAUGAGGAACCGCGUCCUUGCCAACCUAAAUGUUUACCUUCAGAAAUUGUCCUGGAAACAUGAUGAAC